rnacentral:misc_RNA from 1 species
CUUUUUGUGCAAAUGUAUAUAUAGGGGGGUGGUAGUACUCUUGGGGUAGACAGGCAUGUGCUGGGAUGGCAUGCCAAGGCAUGUGCUGGGAUGGCAUGCCAAGGCGUGUGCUGGGAUGGCAUGCCAAGGACAAGCAUGUGCUAGGAAGGCAUGCCAAGGCCAAGACAAGGCCAUGGCAAGCACAUGCAUCGCGAGGGAGAUGAGAUGGUUACGUUUACCCCAAGAGUGCCCAAGGGAAGGAAGGUGUCAAACGCAUGCUGAGCCCCACUUCGGUAGUUUGGCACCCCCAUAGGCAUUUAGCCAAGCAUGCCUAUGGGAAGGUCUGUUGAGCUUGUCAGCUAUGUCGGGUAUUAUUUGACGGAUGAGAUGAUGGCACAAGGAUGCUUGCUCUAAGGUAACGUUUCGGCAACACAGCCAGCCCGCAAUUGCUAGUUCAAGCGGGUGGAAUCUGCCUAUAGGGGUGUUGCUUGCUUGCUGUGGAUUUGGGACACGCCCAAUAUCUAUCAUCGACCCAACGAAGUGCUCAACAUGGGUUGCUGAGGGCUAUUUUGGCACAGAUGCUUCACUCGUUUGCUUGGCUUUGAUAAAUGUUUAGAUGUCAUGAUGCUUGGGAUCCAAUAAAUAUAUGUGGGAAGCUGAGAGCUGGAACCCAAUGUCAUUCACCAGACGGUUUAGCUUCGUCAGUGUGUAUAAUAUGUCAUUGAACCCCAAUCCUCGAUGCCGACCUGAUUAUGACUUUUGGAUCGCAAUUAUCAUGGCUAUCAAAAACUGAGUAGGAGUCAUGGAAUAAGUGAACAAUUUGUGGCCUUUAUAGCUGUCAGCUUUCGCAUCGCCCGGUGUGUUUGGGAAUCGCUUUGUGCAUUUGGUUGCUUGCCGUGCCUCUUGGCAUACGGUUGGUGCCACUUGCCGGGUGGUUUUCGGAAACAUCCACCGUAAAGGUGCAUGAGUGGUGUUUGGUUUGUUACGGGUGGUUGGCUCUUUGCUUGCGCAACAACUGCCACCCGACUUACCUCUUCAGUUUUUGCCUAGGCUUGUAUAGCCUAAGCAGAUUGUGGGUUUCCUGUGUUGCCUACCUAUGUCACGGAAUUGUCCCGAUCGGUCAAAGUUGCUUUCGUCUUGUGUCGUCUUGAUGGCAUAAGAUGAACCAUGAAGCUGUCUCUUUGCACCGCAUCGUUAAUGCAUGCAUUGAUGUUGUGGCCCAUUGAGCAUUGCUUGGUACCUCGGAUACGGAACCUUAUGUGGGCAUGGGUCCUUGGGGAUCCUUGUUCUGCCCUCGUUUAGCGUUCGCGCUUCUCUUAGAAUGACUGCCCAGCCGGAAUGGGAAGCCAUUCUGGAUGGGCAUCGUCAAAGAGGAAUGC